rnacentral:rRNA from 1 species
UACGUAGGGUGCAAGCGUUAAUCGGAAUUACUGGGCGUAAAGCGUGCGCAGGCGGUUUUGUAAGUCUGUCGUGAAAGCCCCGGGCUCAACCUGGGAAUUGCGAUGGAGACUGCAAGGCUUGAAUCUGGCAAAGGGGGGUAGAAUUCCACGUGUAGCAGUGAAAUGCGUAGAGAUGUGGAGGAACACCGAUGGCGAAGGCAGCCCCCUGGGUCAAGAUUGACGCUCAUGCACGAAAGCGUGGGGAGCAAACAGG